rnacentral:sRNA from 1 species
AGCAGCCGCGGUAAUUUCAGCUCCAAUAGCGUAUAUUAAAGUUGCUGCAGUUAAAAGCUCGUAGUUGAAUUUCGGGGUUAGUAGGUCGGUCGUGCCACUGGUAUGUACUGGUCUCACUGAUUCCUCCUUCCUGAUGAACCGUAAUGCCAUUAAUUUGGUGUUGCGGGGAGACUGGACUGUUACUUUGAAAAAUUAGAGUGUUUAAAGCAGGCUCGCGCUUGAAUACACUAGCAUGGAAUAAUGAAAUAGGACGUUUGAUUCUAUUUUGUUGGUUUCUAGGAUCGACGUAAUGAUUAAUAGGGAUAGUUGGGGGCAUUAGUAUUCAAUUGUCAGAGGUGAAAUUCUUGGAUUUAUUGAAGACUAACUACUGCGAAAGCAUUUGCCAAGGAUGUUUUCAUUAAUCAAGAACGAAAGUUAGGGGAUCGAAGACGAUCAGAUACCGUCGUAGUCUUAACCAUAAACUACGCCGACUAGGGAUCGGAUGAUGUUAAUUUUUAAUGUACUCAUUCGGCGCCU